AUCGAUGAAGAACGCAGCGAAAUGCGAUAAGUAAUGUGAAUUGCAGAUUUCAGUGAACCAUCGAAUCUUUGAACGCACCUUGCGCUCUUUGGUAUUCCGAAGAGCAUGCCUGUUUGAGUGUCAUGAAAAUAUCAACCUUGACUUGGGUUUUGUGCUCGAGUCUUGGCUUGGAUGUGGGUGCUUGCCGCUUUAACGAGCGGCUCACCUUAAAUGUAUUAGCUGGAUCUGUCUUUGAGACUUGGUUUGACUUGGCGUAAUAAGUAUUUCGCUAAGGACAUUCUUCGGAAUGGCCUCGUUUCUGGGACACUUGUCCGCUUUCCAAUACAAGUUCCAUUCGUGGACAUGACUUUUUAUUAUCUGGCCUCAAAUCAGGUAGGACUACCCGCUGAACUUAAGCAUAUCAAUAAGCGGAGGAAAAGAAACUAACAAGGAUUCCCCUAGUAACGGCGAGUGAAGCGGGAAGAGCUCAAAUUUGAAAUCUGGUAGCCUCAGGCUAUCCGAGUUGUAAUCUAUAGAUGCGUUUUCCGCGCUGGCCCAUGUACAAGUGCCUUGGAAUAGGCUGUCAUAGAGGGUGAGAAUCCCGUCCCUGACAUGGACUACCAGUGCUUUGUGAUACGUAUUCAACGAGUCGAGUUGUUUGGGAAUGCAGCUCAAAAUGGGUGGUAAAUUCCAUCUAAAGCUAAAUAUUGGCGAGAGACCGAUAGCGAACAAGUACCGUGAGGGAAAGAUGAAAAGCACUUUGGAAAGAGAGUUAAACAGUAUGUGAAAUUGUUGAAAGGGAAACGAUUGAAGUCAGUCGUGUCUAUUGGACUCAGCCGGUUCUGCCGGUGUACUUCCUUUAGACGGGGUCAACAUCAGUUUUGAUCGCUGGAAAAGGGCUGGAGGAAUGUAGCACUCUCGGGUGAACUUAUAGCCUUCAGUCGUAUGCAGUGGUUGGGUCUGAGGAACGCAGCACGCCUUUAUGGCCGGGGUUCGCCCACGUACGUGCUUAGGAUGCUGGCAAUAUGGCUUUAAUCGACCCGUCUUGAAACACGG
rnacentral:rRNA from 1 species